GAUGAACGCUGGCGGCGUGCCUAAUACAUGCAAGUCGAGCGAACAGACGAGGAGCUUGCUCCUCUGACGUUAGCGGCGGACGGGUGAGUAACACGUGGAUAACCUACCUAUAAGACUGGGAUAACUUCGGGAAACCGGAGCUAAUACCGGAUAAUAUAUUGAACCGCAUGGUUCAAUAGUGAAAGACGGUUUUGCUGUCACUUAUAGAUGGAUCCGCGCCGCAUUAGCUAGUUGGUAAGGUAACGGCUUACCAAGGCAACGAUGCGUAGCCGACCUGAGAGGGGGAUCGGCCACACUGGAACUGAGACACGGUCCAGACUCCUGCGGGAGGCAGCAGUAGGGAAUCUUCCGCAGUGGGCGAAAGCCUGACGGAGCAACGCCGCGUGAGUGAUGAAGGUCUUCGGAUCGUAAAACUCUGUUAUUAGGGAAGAACAAAUGUGUAAGUAACUAUGCACGUCUUGACGGUACCUAAUCAGAAAGCCACGGCUAACUACGUG
rnacentral:rRNA from 1 species